CCUACGGGAGGCAGCAGUGGGGAAUAUUGCACAAUGGGGGAAACCCUGAUGCAGCGACGCCGCGUGAGUGAAGAAGUAUUUCGGUAUGUAAAGCUCUAUCAGCCGGGAAGAAAUAGCGACCUUUGGGUCGCCAGACGGUACCUGACUAAGAAGCCCCGGCUAACUACGUGCCAGCAGCCGCGGUAAUACGUAGGGGGCAAGCGUUAUCCGGAUUUACUGGGUGGAAAGGGAGCGUAGAGGGCAGCACAAAUCUGAAGGGAAAUGCCGGGGGUUAACCCCGGAACUGCCUUGGAAACUGUGGAGCUAGAGUGCAUGAGAGGUAAGUGGAAUUCCUAGUGUAGCGGUGAAAUGCGUAGAUAUUAGGAGGAACACCAGUGGCGAAGGCGGCUUACUGGACUGUAACUGACGUUGAGGCUCGAAAGUGUGGGGAGCAAACAGGAUUAGAUACCCGAGUAGUC
rnacentral:rRNA from 1 species